rnacentral:rRNA from 1 species
GUCCUAGCUGUAAACGAUGCACAUUAGACGUGAGGGGUAUCUACCCCCUUCGUGUCGACGCAAACGCAUUAAAUGUGCCGCCUGGGGAGUACGUCCGCAAGGUUGAAACUCAAAGGAAUUGACGGGGGCCCGCACAAGCGGUGGAGCAUGUGGUUUAAUUCGACGCAACGCGAAGAACCUUACCUGGGCUUGAACUGCUAGUAGUAGAAUUGAUGAAAGUCGAGACGAACCGUAAAGUCGGUUGUUAGCAGAGGUGCUGCAUGGCUGUCGU